AUACAGAGGGUGCGAGCGUUAAUCGGAAUCACUGGGCGUAAGGGCGCGCAGGCGGUUUGGUAAGUCAGAUGUGAAAGCCCACGGCUCAACCGUGGAAGUGCAUUUGAAACUGCCAGGCUUGAAUACCAGAGGGGAAAGUGGAAUUCCCGGUGUAGAGGUGAAAUUCGUAGAUAUCGGGAGGAAUACCGGUGGCGAAGGCGACUUUCUGGCUGGAUACUGACGCUGAGGCGCGAAAGCGUGGGGAGCAAACAGGAUUAGAUACCCCAGUAGUCC
rnacentral:rRNA from 1 species